UGAUGCAGCCAUGCCGCGNUGUGUGAAGAAGGCCUUCGGGUUGUAAAGCACUUUCAGUCAGGAGGAAAGGGUGUGAGUUAAUACCUCACAUCUGUGACGUUACUGACAGAAGAAGCACCGGCUAAUUCCGUGCCAGCAGCCGCGGUAAUACGGAGGGUGCGAGCGUUAAUCGGAAUUACUGGGCGUAAAGCGUACGCAGGCGGUUUGUUAAGCGAGAUGUGAAAGCCCCGGGCUCAACCUGGGAACUGCAUUUCGAACUGGCAAACUAGAGUGUGAUAGAGGGUGGUAGAAUUUCAGGUGUAGCGGUGAAAUGCGUAGAGAUCUGAAGGAAUACCGAUGGCGAAGGCAGCCACCUGGGUCAACACUGACGCUCAUGUACGAAAGCGUGGGGAGCAAACGGGAUUAGAUACCCCGGUAGUCCACGCCGUAAACGAUGUCUACUAGAAGCUCGGAACCUCGGUUCUGUUUUUCAAAGCUAACGCAUUAAGUAGACCGCCUGGGGAGUACGGCCGCAAGGUUAAAACUCAAAUGAAUUGACGGGGGCCCGCACAAGCGGUGGAGCAUGUGGUUUAAUUCGAUGCAACGCGAAGAACCUUACCUACACUUGACAUACAGAGAACUUACCAGAGAUGGUUUGGUGCCUUCGGGAGCUCUGAUACAGGUGCUGCAUGGCUGUCGUCAGCUCGUGUUGUGAGAUGUUGGGUUAAGUC
rnacentral:rRNA from 1 species